rnacentral:rRNA from 1 species
AGGACUAACGCUGGCGGCGUGCCUAACACAUGCAAGUCGAGCGGGGUAGCAAUACCCAGCGGCAGACGGGUGAGUAACGCGUGGUCAACCUUCCGUUGAAUGGGGGAUAACUAGCCGAAAGGUUAGCUAAUACCGCAUACGAUCUUUUGAAGGCAUCUUUAAAAAGAUGAAAGGAGCAAUUCGUUCAACGACGGGACCGCGUCCCAUUAGCUAGAUGGUGGGGUAAUGGCCUACCAUGGCAACGAUGGGUAGCUGGUUUGAGAGAGCGACCAGCCACACUGGGACUGAGAAACGGCCCAGACUCCUACGGGAGGCAGCAGUGAGGAAUUUUCCGCAAUGGGCGAAAGCCUGACGGAGCGACGCCGCGUGUGGGAAGAAGGCCUUCGGGUCGUAAACCACUGUCGAAGGGGACGAUAAUGACGGUACCCUUGGAGGAAGCCCCGGCUAACUACGCGCCAGCAGCCGC